ACAGCCAAAUCCCACCGACCUCGAAGAAAUGACACCCCCUCCAAGAGGCUUUUCUAGGCCCCUCCCCUACUCCCUACGCCGGCCACGAUGUGACUGUUGGGCAGGGGGGAAAAUCAAGCGGCGGCUACACACAGUGGGGCCCCCAUCCCUUUGGGCUCAAUGCCCAACCGUGGGGACCACACCGUCAACUGGAGGACCUUGAACACCCGCUCCACCUGGGCCUGUGCAGACACACCGGCGGGCGCGGGGCCCGCGUUUCCACGCAGAUUCUUCACGAGGGAAACUCCCGUGUGAUGCGCGAUAAAGAAACUGAGUCCCGACGAGCUAGCGACUCGACCCGCCCUCCGGCGGGGGCAGAGGUUGGAUUCCUGUCGCCGCGCCGAGCCCCCUCCCCUUCGGUACGGCCCCGGGGCGGGGCCUCGGCAUUCUCUCCGGAUGCUCAGUCGGCGCCGACCCCAAAAGGAAAUGUGCGGCGGAGGGCUGAGUGAACCCCGGGCCUCGCCCCUGGCCUGAGCAGGGCGGCUCGCUUUCCACUCCCUUCGUCUUUCCCUCUGUGAAGGCUGGAACCUGGCCGACUGUGCCACUGAGGGUCAGGGGAGCUAACGCGGGGAUAGGGCACUGGGCAUAGGGCACUGGGCAGCACUGCUGCCCCCCUCCCGUCGCUAUUCCCUUCACCUCCUACUCCUACCCCCCCCUUCACCCUCCAUCGUCUCCUCCGAGCCUUCGCUCCUCCCAGCGAGACCUGCCCUCUUCUCACGCUCAGCGGUGCACUUUCCGCCGGGGUGGAGUGGAUGCGGAGUGAGCCCAGACGCCCGUGCAGUGCGGGGGUCUGGGGUCUGUGGGGACAGAGUUGCUAGUGGAAGCGUUCUGUAAGGUGGGGCGGGUUCUUUGGGUUUCCUCAGGAAAGAGGGGAGUCCACACCCAGCUGCUCUCCUUCUACCCUCUCUACUACAGCAGGUGGGGGGGGGUCGCCGUACCCGCAUAGUUUAUUUUUAUCUGUUUCAUAGGUUUGCGCCCCAGGACGGAUAAAGUCAUGGGGACUGUGAGUCGAGAAACACUAGGACUCAGCCGGGGUCCGUCUGGCAAUUAUGGACAAGUGUCUUGUUCAUCCAGCACCUCAGCUUCCUUCUCUGCCAAAUAGGGUUGGUAAGGGUCCAACCCAGGCAAGUGGGUAGGGGGAAUGCCGAGCAGAAAGGCCGGAUGCCCUCCUCCCGGGCUCCGAGACACACCGUGGUGCACAUUCCGACAGAGCGGGGUGGAUGCGGAGUGAGUCAGGACGCCUGUGCAGUGCCGGGCCUGGGGUGUCUGUGGGGAUGGAGUUGUGGGUGGAAGCUUCUGGGGAGAGUAAAGGUGUCAGGCCACUCCCAGCCUGAGGGGCUGAAGAAACAUCUAGUUAGAUCUGAACCUGGGGGCUGGGAGGACCAGAGCUACUGGGGAGGGAGCAGCCCUUUUGGGCUGGAGGCGUCCCUGUCCGGAUAUGACUGACCUUGGCCUGACUUCAUCGCUAACGCCUUACCCAGGCCCAGAGCAACCCUUAGCUGGCCCUUUGGUCCCCUCCCCUCCUCACCUUCCUUUACCCCAAGUUCUAAGCUCCAGACUUGCCUAUUGGUAUGACCAGCCUGCCCGUUCUUCUGGGGAACUCCCAACAAGGUUGCAAGUCUCUAGCUUUUGCAUACACUGACCCCCCCACCCCAACUCCCGGCAUGCUCAUCUCUCCCUUGAUUGCUCUCCCUAUGUCUAUUCAGCUUUCAAAAUAUUGUCCAGGAGUUUAUCUUCUGUGGGCCUUGCCUCAUCGGUUGCAGGUGUGCCUGACGCACACUUCGGAUCGUCAGUGUUUUGUUGUCAUUUACUUAGGUUCCCCCCAACCCAGUGUGAGCUCCUAGAGAGCUGACAUCUUUAAUUCGAGACUGUGCCUCCCUUCCCCAGGUCUAGCACAGGGCUGGCGCCCAACUAAUGCCUACAGAAUUGACCAGAGGGGUGGGCAGGGGGUACAGCUGGGGGCACCUCAGGGAAGCAAAAAAGGGGUCUCCCGUUUCUCCGCUACCUGGCCCCCAUUCAUCCUCCCUUUCAGUUCGCAGGGGCCCCAUCUUCUCCAGGGACAAGCCGGGAGAAGGAGGUUGGGCGGCGUUCUAGCCCAGGUACCCCUCCACCGUUGCUCGGGUGAGCCAGACCUGUCCCAUCCCGUCCCUCUUAGAGGGCCCCACUUGUUUCGUUGCCCUUUUAAGAAAGAGGAAAUUCUUCUCAUAAACAAGCGCCUCAACCAGAGCGCGGAGCCCAGCUGCCUGCCCCGCCGCAUCCCCGGGAAAUCGGGGGUGCUUCCAGGCACAGCGCCCACUCCAAGCUCAAUCUAGGGGAAAGGGCUGGCGGCCCCUCAUCGCCGACGCUCGCCACAGCUCAGGGGCUGGGGUCCGAGGGACGGGAAGAGGCAGGAGGGACUUGGGGGAGCCUAGAAACAGCCCAGGGAGCGUCUGUAAAGUGCAGCCCCUUCAAGGGGCGAAAGGGCGCCGGGCCGCUCCCUGCGGCCGAGGUGGUUCCCCGCCCACAGAGCUCACCCCACCUUCCCGCCUGGGCGGAUUCCGAGGCCCCCGGGCGCGAAGCCCGAGUGACAGCCUCCUCCUCUUUGGAGGCGGGGAGUACCGGCGCUCGGGAUCGUCCCUGUCCCUAGGGGGAGCUGGGAGUCAACGCCCAGGGAGCGUUAACUACGCGGCGUGGGAGUCCCGGCCGCCUGGUCCCCUGGGGAGAUGGCAAAGGAAUUGGGCCUCAGAGGCACCGACUCUUCGGUUCCUUAGGACUUGGCGCCCUAAGAGGGGAGAACCGCGCUUCUGUUUUCCUGCCUGGAAAAGGGGUUUCAGGUGGAACAGAAAGGCUGAGGCCACUCCAGCGAGAGUGGGAGCGAGGCAGACCUUCAGGGAGGGGAACUAUUCUUGAUGGUUCAGGGAUUUUGUGCUUUCCUGUUUCCAUUUCCCUGCUCUUUUGGAUAAGAAGUGAAUUAGCAUUUAUUUAUCGUUUUCAGACUCUAUUUUUAAAGUACCAGUUUGGAGCCUGUGUCCCACCCCCAAUUGGGUUGGUCUGUCAGGUUACUCCUAUAGGUGCUCAAUAAAUACUUCAGGAAUGAUUUUUUUUUUU